AUGUGGAAUGAAGCAGGGCAAAGACUAAUAGAGUUUUGCCAAGAGAACGCACUGGUCAUAGCAAACACCCUCUUCCAACAACACAAGAGAAGACUCUACACAUGGACAUCACCAGAUGGUCAACACCAAAAUCAGAUUGAUUAUAUUCUUUGCAGCCAAAGAUGGAGAAGCUCUAUACAGUCAACAAAAACAAGACCAGGAGCUGACUGUGGCUCAGAUCAUGAACUCCUUAUUACCAAAUUCAGACUUAAAUUGAAGAAAGCAGGGAAAACCGCUAGAUCAUUCAGGUAUGACCUAAAUCAAAUCCCUUAUGCUUAUAUAGUGGAAGUGAGAAAUAGAUUUAAGGGCCUAGAUCUGAUAGAUAGAGUGCCUGAUGAACUAUGGAAUGAGGUUCGUGACAUUGUACAGGAGACAGGGAUCAAGACCAUCCCCAUGGAAAAGAAAUGCAAAAAAGCAAAAUGGCUAUCUGGGGAGGCCCUACAAAUAGCUGAGAAAAGAAGAGAAGUGAAAAGCAAAGGAGAAAAGGAAAGAUAUAAGCAUCUGAAUGCAGAGUUCCAAAGAAUAGCAAGAAGAGAUAAGAAAGCCUUCUUCAGUGAUCAAUGCAAAGAAAUGGAGAAAAACAACAGAAUGGGAAAGACUAGAGAUCUCUUCAAGAAAAUUAGAGAUACCAAGGGAAUAUUUCAUGCAAAGAUGGGCUCGAUAAAGGACAGAAAUGGUAUGGACCUAACAGAAGCAGUAAAGAAGAGGUGGCAAGAAUACACAGAAGGACUGUACAAAAAAGAUCUUCACAACCCAGAUAAUCACGAUGGUGUGAUCACUCAUCUAGAGCCAGACGUCCUGGAAUGUGAAGUCAAGUGGGCCUUAGAAAGUAUCACUAUGAACAAAGCCAGUGGAGGUGAUGGAAUUCCAGUUGAGCUAUUUCAAAUCCUGAAAGAUGAUGCUGUGAAAGUGCUGCACUCAGUAUGCCAGCAAAUUUGGAAAACUCAGCAGUGGCUUCAGGACUGGAAAAGGUCAGUUUUCAUUAAAAUCCCAAAGAAAGGCAAUGCCAAAGAAUGCUCAAACUACUGCACAAUCGCACUCAUCUCACAUGCUAGUAAAGUAAUGCUCAAAAUUCUCCAAGCCAGGCUUCAGCAAUAUGUGAACUGUGAACUUCCAGAUGUUCGAGGUGGUUUUAGAAAAGGCAGAGGAACCAGAGAUCAAACUGCCAACAUCUGCUGGAUCAUGGAAAAAGCAACAGAGUUCCAGAAAAACAUCUAUUUCUGCUUUAUUCACUAUGCCAAAGCCUUUGACUGUGUGGAUCACAAUAAACUGUGGAAAAUUCUGAAAGAGAUGGGAAUACCAGACCACCUGACCUGCCUCUUGAGAAAUCUUUAUGCAGGUCAGGAAGCAACAGUUAGAACAGACUGGUUCCAAAUAGGUAAAGGAGCACGUCAAGGCUGUAUAUUGUCACCCUGCUUAUUUAACUUCUAUGCAGAGUACAUCAUGAGAAACGCUGGACUGGAAGAAACACAAGCUGGAAUCAAGAUUGCUGGAAGAAAUAUCAAUAACCUCAGAUAUGCAGAUGACACCACCCUUAUGGCAGAAAGUGAAGAGGAACUAAAAAGCCUCUUGAUGAAAGUGAAAGUCGAGAGUGAAAAUGUUGGCUUAAAGCUCAACAUUCAGAAAACGAAGAUCAUGGCAUCCAGUCCCAUCACUUCAUGGGAAAUAGAUGGGGAAACAGUAGAAACAGUGUCAGACUUUAUUUUUUUGGGCUCCAAAACCAUUGGAGAUGGUGACUGCAGCUGUGAAAUUAAAAGGCGCUUACUCCUUGGAAGGAAAGUUAUGACCAACCUAGAUAACAUAUUCAAAAGCAGAGACAUUACUUUGCCAACAGAGGUCCAUCUAGUCAAGGCUAUGGUUUUUCCAGUGGUCAUGUAUGGAUGUGAGAGUUGGACCGUGAAGAAGGCUGAGUGCUGA
rnacentral:lncRNA from 1 species